UUGCUUUGGCAGCACAUAUACUAAAAUUGGAAAGCUACAGACAAAAUUAGUAUGCCCUGGCACAAAGACGACAUGCAAAUUUAUGAAGCAUUCCAUAUUUUU